rnacentral:misc_RNA from 1 species
GUGAGUCAUCGAAUCUUUGAACGCACAUUGCGCCCCUUGGUAUUCCAUGGGGCAUGCCUGUUCGAGCGUCAUUUGUACCUUCAAGCUCUGCUUGGUGUUGGGUGUUUGUCUCGCCUUUUGCGCGCAGACUCGCCUCAAAACGAUUGGCAGCCGGCGUAUUGAUUUCGGAGCGCAGUACAUCUCGCGCUUUGCACUCACAACGACGACGUCCAAAAAGUACAUUUUUACACUCUUGACCUCGGAUCAGGUAGGGAUACCCGCUGAACUUAAGCAUAUCAAUAAGCGGAGGA